ensembl:lncRNA
GUAGGAAUCCUCUAUAGAUCCCCGCUCUUGGGAAUCUAAUGCCCUCAAAUGCACAACUCGGCAGCCGACGAGCAAGCUGAUAAAGCAUUCCUUGCAGAGACUUAAUGGGUACAUUCUGUAUCUCCAUCUGCAUCUUUCUGUCUGCCUUUUAUUUUUUUUUCCCUUAGCAUGCUUGGAGGAAGGGUUAACUUGCUUCAGCUGAAUAGGACAAAAUGGAAAGAGACUUCAGGACAACUAUACCUCAAAACACACUGGACUCCUUGAAGGAGGAGGAGGCAGCUUCAUGCAAGAAGUUCCUGCAGAGCUGGAGAGAGACUGAGGAGCACAGAACAAACUGCCCUAGCUUCCCUGCACCAUCCUGGUUGCCUCAAUAAUUGCUAAAAUCUCCAUCAUGGUUUGUCCUCCUCCACCAUGGUGUUCCUUUCUCACCUGAAGUGCCACUUGCCUAAACCAUGGUGCCACAUGGGGUGCUUGUGAAGCAGCCCCAUGAUUUACCUUUACCUUGCCUACUUGUUUUUAAAUUGUCAGAGUAUCCUCUCAAGUUGUCGGUAAAAGGGUGAAAUGACUGGUUUUGCACAGGAAAUAGAUUUUACUUCUUUAAUAAGAAUUUUUACAUUAUUUCAUCUUUGGCAAACCAUGUGACAUUAGAUUAAGAUCUCAGCCUGAAGAACAGGCCUGAGAUCUGGCCACAUUUAAGUUUUUGAUAGAACUUGAUCAUCAAUUAAAUCCAAAGGCAAAAAAUAUAGCCUAAAAUGGACGCUCUUUUUAAAGUAAAAGAGUACAGCAGGCAAGAAAUAAUUUUUAUGAAAACUGAACUUCUGGGAGACCUUUUUUACUCUGAUCUGCUCUCUUGACCUCAGAGGUGAUGUCAGCAGCUUGGCCACUGAGCUGUCACAGCUGAAGUUGACUUCACUGGUGCUCGCUGCCAACAGACACAGUGGGAACUCUGCUCUCCUCACUGGUGCUCACUCCCCACAGACACAGCGGGAGCUCUGCUCUCCUCACUGGUGCUCGCUGCCCACAGACACAGCGGGAACUCUGCUCUCCUCACUGGUGCUCACUCCCCACAGACACAGCGGGAACUCUGCUCUCCUUGCAUGGUGCCUCACGCCGCAUCCGAACGCUCCCUCUGCUCCCAGCACAGCCCUACACGGCCAAGGCAGCAGCAAUCUUGCUCCUAGUCAGCAGAGAAGCUCUACCAUGGAAUCACUCAUGGAAGAAGAGGGUUCUGCAGCCAGGAUGCCUGUUUUGAGCACACCAGUCUCUUUCCCUGCUCUUUGGUUACCAGUUGAUCUUCACACAUCCACAGGAAGGUCUGAGGCUGCCUGUUGGCUUCUCUCAGAGGAAUGUCCUGAAUGGAGCUUGCUGUCAACACAGCUUUCAAGACAAAGAAGAAAAAAAGAAAAAAGAAGAAGCAUAUGA